rnacentral:lncRNA from 1 species
CUGUAGGUGAGGUUGCGGGCAAGCGGGAGGCGGCAGCGAACGCUCUGCAGGACGCGCGGCCGCUCCUGGCCGGGGAAACGGAAGGCAGGAGGUUGCACCGCGUCCUACAAGUGGAAUCCAGCCCGGGUGGCCUCAAGCCCCUCGAUCCCUCCCCGGGCAGCUCAUCGUCUACCUCGCAGCAGCCGGGCUGCGCCCGGAGCCCACUCACCCUUAGCCAAAGGCGGCGCGGCGCCUUCGAGUUCUGCGGCACCCCGGGGACAGACGCAAGGCCCCGAGAAACCUGGGUGUUGCAAGUCUCAGGUCAGACUCCGAGGCGUCCCGGUCUAAAGAGGCGCUUUGUCUUUCACCUAAUUCAACAGACCCUGGAUUUCCCUGAGGGCGCAAUCCCGUCGGCGGAUCGCAGCCCUUCCCCGCCUCACCGUGCUUUCCCUGCGCUUCAAUCCAACCGGUCCCCCGCCCGACCGGUGGCUAUCCUCCGUCACCUCGUCGUCGUGGGCCUCCCUCUUGGGCCCCAAGAGGGGCCGCGGGAAUCUACAGCACCUCUGACACAACUCGCCGCCCGGCCUUUGCCCAGGCGCCGCGCCACCCGGCACGCACCAUGACCCUGCCAUUCGCCCGCCACACCGACGAGCAGAAACGCCCUAACAUCUGCUGAGAAAAUCCCUUCCCACGGC